rnacentral:rRNA from 1 species
UACGGAGGAUGCAAGUGUUAUCCGGAAUCACUGGGCGUAAAGCGUCUGUAGGUGGUUUAAUAAGUCAACUGUUAAAUCUUGAGGCUCAACCUCAAAAUCGCAGUCGAAACUAUUAGGCUAGAGUAUAGUAGGGGUAAAGGGAAUUUCCAGUGGAGCGGUGAAAUGCGUAGAGAUUGGAAAGAACACCGAUGGCGAAGGCACUUUACUGGGAUAUUACUAACACUCAGAGACGAAAGCUAGGGUAGCAAAUGGG